GAUGAACGCUGGCGGCGUGGAUAAGGCAUGCAAGUCAAGGGGGUUUUGUAGCAAUACAAAACAGCCGGCAGACGAGUUAGUAACACCUUGGUACGUACCCUAAAGUCGGGCAUAGCUCACCGAAAGGUGGGGUAAUUUCCGAUAGUCUCGUAAGAGUAAAGGAGUAAUCCGCUUUAGGAGCGACCUAGGUCCUAUCAGCUUGUUGGUGAGGUAACGGCCCACCAAGGCUAUGACGGGUAGGGGGUGUGAGAGCACGACCCCCAACGAGGGAACUGAGACACGGUCCUUACAUCUACGGAUGGCUGCAGUCGAGAAUAUUCGACAAUGGGCGAAAGCCUGAUCGAGCGACGCCGCGUGCAGGAAGACGGCCUUCGGGUUGUAAACUGCUUUUGCGUGGGAAGAAAUUUGACGGUACCACGCGAAUAAGGGGCUGCUAACUCUGUGCCAGCAGCAGCGGUAAUACAGAGGCCCCAAGCGUUAUCCGGAAUCACUGGGCGUAAAGCGCAAGUAGUCGGUUUUUGUAGUCUGAUGUUAAAUCUCAUGGCUCAACCGUGAGACCGCACUAGAAACGCAAAAACUAGAGCAAGUCAGAGGUAAGCGGAACGUGUGGUGUAGCGGUGAAAUGCAUUGAUAUCACACGGAACACCAAAAGCGAAAGCAGCUUACUGGGGCUUUGCUGACGAUCAGUUGCGAAAGCGUGGGGAUCAAAAAGGAUUAGAUACCCUUGUAGUCCACGCCCUAAACGAUGCAGACUAGCUAUUGGGAGCAUCGACCCUCCCGGUGGCGUAGCUAACGCGUUAAGUCUGCCGCCUGGGAAGUACGAUCGCAAGAUUA
rnacentral:rRNA from 1 species